UGGGGAAUUUUCCGCAAUGGGCGAAAGCCUGACGGAGCAACGCCGCGUGGGUGAAGAAGGCCUUCGGGUUGUAAAGCCCUGUCUUAUGAGAAGAAGAAAGUGACGGUAUCAUAAGAGGAAGCCACGGCUAACUACGUGCCAGCAGCCGCGGUAAUACGUAGGUGGCGAGCGUUGUCCGGAAUCACUGGGCGUAAAGGGCGCGUAGGCGGUAAAUUAAGUCAAGUGUGAAAUAUUUCGGCUUAACCGGGAAAUUGCAUUUGAUACUGGAAUACUUGAGUGCAGGAGAGGGCAGUGGAAUUCCUAGUGUAGCGGUGAAAUGCGUAGAUAUUAGGAGGAACACCAGUGGCGAAGGCGGCUGCCUGGACUGUAACUGACGCUGAGGCGCGAAAGCGUGGGGAGCAAACAGG
rnacentral:rRNA from 2 species